rnacentral:lncRNA from 1 species
GCUGGGAUUUUAAAGAGACGAGCUUCAGCCUGCUAAGCCGCGCUCACGCCGCCUCUCCGCCCUGGCCUCCCCGCGUCCGGCUUGGGGCCGGGUCCCUCCCGGGUCAAAGCUACGCCGGGUGCACUGCGGGCUGGGCAGCUCUCCCACUACGCCCAAAGCCCAGGCGGCCGGGACCGCCGUCCCAAAGUCACAAACCACACCCGUGAAGGACGCCCUCCGCAAGACAGAGAGGAGGCUGGGCCUGGGAAGGAACCUCCGGCCCUUCCUCACCAUGCAGCCAAGCCCUGCUUUCUCUACCUCCAGUCGUUUUCUGAGGACCGGCUUGGUGGGUGCUGAUGCCUGCCUGGAAGACCUCACACCCACAGUGUCUUAGAAGAUUCUGAAAGCAGUGUGAGACCAGAAUGACCAGCAAAGGAGAAAAGAACAAGGACACAUUGCAGCCAAAAUGGAGCUAGAAUCUUGCCUCUGUCCAUCCUUCACUGGAGUUAUCCUGGAUGGAGAAGGAACCAUAUCACCUGCAAAGCCUGGAAGGGGAGCCCUGCUGUGAGGUGAGCCAGUAAGUCUGUGAGUUCAGGAGGGAGCACACGCUUGUCUGUCCAUCUGUUCAUGAGCAGGCGCUCUUGAGUCUUCCUAAAUAUUGCCCAGAGCUCUCCAUCCAGAUACUGUCCUUUCCCUUCCUCUCCAUUGAUGGUCUCCAAGCCUUUCUUAGCUUUCAUCUUCCCCUAAGGAUUCCUUCUCCCAAAGCUCCAGCCCAUUCCAAUGUCAACUGCAUUCGUUGUUUUUGUUACUCUCAUUGUGUCAAAUGGGUUCUUUCCUAUGCAACUAGAUUGUAGGUUGCUCCAAGGUAAACACCGUGAUUUCUAGUUCCUUUGUUUCUACCACUGCAGGACUGUAGGAAGCCCAGUUGUAGGCAUCACUAGGACUCAGUAAUUACAUAAUUGCUCAGAUAAUUGAGAGAAUGAUUGAUUGAUUAGUGGUCAUUAAUGCCAUAAAAUGAAGGAAUUUCGCCCCUCACAUUUUCAAGAACCUAUGAGUUCGAAGAGACCUGAAAGAACAUUUUUAUGGGAGCCUACACCAGUGCUAUCACCUAAAGUGCGUGACCUUAGGGAAGUUGCUUCACCCCUUGUUUCUGUGCCUCCAAAAUACUGGUGUUAAUACAGUAAUUUCUGAUUCCUUCCACCUGUGCCCUGCUCAGCGAUCCAGUGUUCAAGCUGGUCAUCAGGAGAAAGCUACUUAUGAUUUCCUAACAAGCCACCACAGAACAUCACAUUCCCAAACAUGCUCUUCACCGUCCCUGCUGUCCCCACGUGCCUAGCCCUGGUGUGGGCAGGAAUGAGUGGGAUUGGGAUGUUUUCUCACAGGUCUUUCUCAGGUGAGGCCCCAGGCUGUGACCAGGCCCCUGCCCUGCAUGUGACUCAGGCCUAGCCCCUGCUGGGGCAGGAAUGCCACCCAGCACAGCAUCCUACUGGUGCCUGAAUAAAGAAUGGACUGGAGGUUCACCUGAAAGGGGCUGCCAGGUUUCUGCGGGGGCCAGCCAACGGCUCACAAUGACCCUGUGUUCGACUCAUCUUACGAUGAAAUUUUUCAGCUUGACGAACUUUUACUCAUCUUUCAAGGCUCGGCUCAAAUGUUAUUUCCCUGGGAAAACUGCGCUACUUUCAGCAAAAUGCAUUUCCUUUUGAUGGGCAUCUGUUUUUUUCUUUCUUUCUUUCUUUCUUUUUUUUUUUUUUUUUUUUUUUU